rnacentral:tRNA from 1 species
GCCCUGGUAGUGUAGUUCGGCCUAGCACGGAGCCCUGUCAAGGCUUCGACCCGGGUUCAAAGUGGUGUGGAAUGGAUAAUUACAUGUCAGGAAUGUCCCGGCCAGGGCG